rnacentral:rRNA from 1 species
GCGCACCUUCGGGUGAGCGGCGGACGGGUGAGUAACGCGUGGGAAUAUGCCCUUCUCUACGGAAUAGCCUCGGGAAACUGAGAGUAAUACCGUAUACGCCCUUCGGGGGAAAGAUUUAUCGGAGAAGGAUUAGCCCGCGUUGGAUUAGGUAGUUGGUGGGGUAAUGGCCUACCAAGCCGACGAUCCAUAGCUGGUUUGAGAGGAUGAUCAGCCACACUGGGACUGAGACACGGCCCAGACUCCUACGGGAGGCAGCAGUGGGGAAUCUUAUACAAUGGGGGAAACCCUGAUCUAGCCAUGCCGCGUGAGUGACGAAGGCCCUAGGGUCGUAAAGCUCUUUCAGCUGUGAAGAUAAUGACGGUAGCAGCAGAAGAAACCCCGGCUAACUCCGUGCCAGCAGCCGCGGUAAUACGGAGGGGGUUAGCGUUGUUCGGAAUUACUGGGCGUAAAGCGCGCGUAGGCGGACUAUUAAGUCAGGGGUGAAAUCCCGGGGCUCAACCCCGGAACUGCCCUUGAUACUGGUAGUCUUGAGUUCGAGAGAGGUGAGUGGAAUUCCGAGUGUAGAGGUGAAAUUCGUAGAUAUUCGGAGGAACACCAGUGGCGAAGG